rnacentral:lncRNA from 1 species
CCCAAGGCUCGCGAACAGCAGGUUCCACUUGUUGCAGCGUCGCCGGCUUCUAGGAACCUGAGGCAGGGCGGGGGAAACACUUAACCGCACGCACUCGGCAGGGGCAGAAGUGGGCCGUCUCUCGUCGCCACGCCCGGUUGCUGCUGAGAUCGCAGAGCACCCUCUGCGUCCGGAGCCAGCGCCUCCCUCCCAGCCCUGUCCGCUCCCCCUCCCCUGCUCCCCUGCCCGUACCCCCUACCCCAGUCCCGUGGCGCCCUCCCCCAGCCCGACCGCGAGCCACCCCUCCCCCUGGCCGAGGCCUGUGGCCGCUGGAAUCCCUGUCGCCCCGGGACUCAGCUGACAGCGGACAGACAAUGACUGCCAGCAACAGGGAGCGGGUUGCCCUUGCUCCUACUGUGUCCCCAUGUCUCAGCACGGGGCUGUCACACAGAAGGCGCUCAAUGAAUACAGGCCGAGUGAAUGAAUGAACCGACGAAGACCCAGGUGCUGUGCAAAGACCGGUGAUUCUGGGGAGGAUGGACUGUGUCCUGAGCUCCUAAGAUUUCGCAGAGGAGCAGUGACAGGGUCUGAAUUUCGGCAGGAAGGCCGCUCUGGAUCCAGGAAAUGGGUUUGUGACGGCGAGGUGGCCACUCCGUUUCUUUCCCAUAUCUCAGCCUCCUAGAUCAGGAGCCAGAAGAGAUGUUGGAGACCAUUAAGAAGAGAGCAGAAAGCUGAAGUUCAAAAGAGAAAAUGAUUUUCCAGGGUCAUACACUGGGAGAGGGGCCAGGGCCCACUGGGGCUCUGCCUAACUCUGCUCUGUGCUGUCUCUGGGGUGCGUAGCUGAGGCCUCACUCAGCACCCAGCUGGCUGUGUGAGGAAGCGGUGGGGAGAGAGUGUCACACUCCAUCGUGACCAGGUCAGAAAGCCCACACGUCUACACAUUGCCUGGGCCCCGGAUGGGUGGGCAGCACUCUCCUGUUUCUCAGAGGGAACGUAGAGAGGGGAUGUAAGCACCUUACCACAACAGAGCACUGUUCACACAGAGACGCAGGCCUCCCAAUUCACCCCAGAUACCCAAGGCCAGAGGAGGCGCUGGUACCAAGGGGGCUACUGUCUAAGCUUCAGUCAAGGAGGAAUGGAGCAGAGCACCUCCAGGCCUGCUCCAGGGACUGAGGGGGCACAGGCAGGAACUGGACCAUCCCUGAAGCCACUUUCAGGAAAGAGAGGAAAAGGUCCUUUAACCGAGGGCCCACUUUGUACCAGCCACUUAACCUGCAGCAGCUCGACUCUCUUAGCAAAUGCCCAUGGAGGGAGCUAGAUUUCUAAUAACCCACCCUCACAGCCCCCAUUUCUACUGCUGAGGAAGGGGGCAUGCAGGAUGGUUAGGGAUUUGCUAGAGAAAAUGGGACUCGCCCUGGGCCUGAGCUCAGGUCUGCUCCCCAGUCAAGGCCCCGCGAGUCUGGCAGCUUCUGGUCAGUCUUUCUUAGCGUCUUAGUGAGGCCUUUCCCCCCCUGCUUGCACGUCCGUCCUCCGUGCUUCCUCACCGUCUUCCUCAUCCUUCCUCGUCCCUCCGCGCUCCUCCCUGGCUCCGCGGGUCUGCUGCCGGUGGCCGGCCUCCCCUUUAUCUUGUCUCCCCGCUUCCACCGCUAUCAGCCAUUAUCUGGCGCAAUCCUGCCCUGGCAAGGCAGGGCAGGAAGCCGGCCUGUGACUCUCCUCUCUUUACUCUCCAUCCUCUUCCUUCUCCAGAGACAAAAGCAAAAACAGCCUGUUAACAGAUCUGCCAUUUCCCUUGGCUCCUUGACUCCCAUUUCCCACUCUCAUUUUUUCACAGGCUCCACUUUUCCACCUCGGGCUGUCCUCAGGAGCUGCUGCGCCCCGAGGCCUGAAGUCCCAGGGCUGUCACUUCCUCUGGGCUUGUCUGCCAGGAGGCCUGAGCUCACAGCCAAGGCUGUCCCCUCCACAAAGCCUCUGGCUCCCUCUUAUCCUCGUUGCGAUCAGCCCGGCCUGAAAUGGUCGUCUGGCUGUCUGCGCCAGGGAUGGGGCGGGACAGUGCUCUGGCCUUCCUCAUUAACGGGGUGGCUGUGGCUCUGAUUAUAGCCGUGGGAGGGUUUUUUUUGGUCAAAGAGCAUCGUGCAUCCAUUUAUUAUGUCACCAUUCACCCAGACGUUUACCGCGUCUUUCUACGCUGCUGCUGGAGACCCAGAGAUGAGCAAAACACAACCUCUGUCCUCAAUAAUGUGUAAUUUGUGGGGAGUCAGGAGGUCGCUGGACUGAGUUAAAGUACUCUAUCUAAUGUGUGGUAGAAAUUGCUAAGUGCAAAAAGAGGGAUGAACACCAAGUGCUCUGAGAGUUCAGAGGAGGGAGAGAUGGAUGCUAACAAGGGGAGCUGAUGCUCAUCAGCGCGUUCUCCGGCCAGGCACUCUGCUGAGCGCCUGCUGUAGUUGUCUCAUUUCGUCCUCAUGGCGAACUCAUGGGGCAGGUGUGGUUUUCAGCCCCAAUUCACAGAUGAAGAGACUGAGGCUUCGGGAAGUGCAGCAAUGGCUAGUGAGUGCUAUACCCGGGUUCAUACACAGAGCCCCAUUUUCCUUGAAGGUCUGAUUCAAAUACCACCUUCAUAUCAUCUUCAUCCCAGCCUGUCAGGCCCCUUGGUCUGUAGAGCCUGUUGGGGCGAGAGUGAGCUCUGGAGAAAUCUCUCGCUCAGGAUGCUUAAUUGCACUGAGUCUUAAUUUUUCUCAUCUGCAAGAGGGGGUGAUAACAGUACCCAUCUCCUAGGUUUGUUGAGGGUUUUAAAGGAACAGUGUAUAUGGUGUGCUUAGCACGGCCACUGGCACAGAGUAUAUACUGAUACAUAUUCAGCACUGCGACUGGCACAGAGUGUAUACUGAUACAUAUUAGCCGUGAUGAUUUCAUAAUUAUUAUUUCUACAACAGGAAAGUUAUGAGGAGGAUAACUUUGUAGGAAGGUGGUUUGGGAAGCAGAUUGUCAGGGUUGAUAUAAAUUUUGUAUCUGUUUUCCAAGGACCGAGCAACACUUGCCCCGGGCAUCCCCAUCUCAGGCUGCGAGGGUGUGGACAGGACACAGCCCUGGAGUUCGCGUUCCCAUUUUUCUCUCAGGUUUUCCUAGGUCUCCCCAAUGCUCAAACGAUCUGUUAAUUUCAAAGUCAUCUGGGUCCUUAAGAAGGCUGAGUCCCUUCUCUUGUGAUUAUUGAGCUUCAUUUUUUUCUUUUUUUUUAAUUGUGGUAAAAUAUAGAUAAUGUAAGAUUUACCGUUUUAAUCAUUUUUAAGUGUGCAGUUCAGUGGCGUUAAGUGCAUUCGCAUCACCGUUGUUCAUCUCUGGAACGUUUUCAUCGUCAACUGAAACUCCACCCGUUUAAGACUAACUCCCCAUUCCCUCCUCCCUCAGCCCCUGGCAACCACCAUUCUCCUUUCUGUCUCUAUGAAUUUGACAACUCUAAGUACCUCAUAUAAGUGGAAUCAUACAGUAGCUGUCCUUUUGUGACUGGCUUAUUUUGUUUAGCGUGAUGUCCUCAGGGUUCACCCAUGUUGUAGCAUGUGUCAGAAUUUCCUUCUUUUUAAGGCUGAAUAAUAUUCCAUCGUAUGUAAACACCACAUUUUGUUUAUACAUCCAUCCACCAAUGGACAUGGGGAUUGUUUCCACUUUUUGGCUUUUGUG